rnacentral:rRNA from 1 species
AGCAGCCGCGGUAAUUCCAGCUCCAAUAGCGUAUAUUAAAGUUGUUGCAGUUAAAAAGCUCGUAGUUGAAUUUCGGGAUCAAUAUGUUGGUCGUGCCUUGGUACGUACUGGCAUUAUUGGUUCCUACCUUCUGAAGAACCUCGAUGUCAUUAAUUUGGUGUCUUGGGGAAUCAGGACUGUUACUUUGAAAAAUUAGAGUGUUUAAAGCAGGCUCGCGCUUGAAUACAUUAGCAUGGAAUAAUGAAAUAGGACGUUUGAUUCUACUUUGUUGGUUUCUAGGAUCGACGUAAUGAUUAAUAGGGAUAGUUGGGGGCAUUAGUAUUCAAUUGUCAGAGGUGAAAUUCUUGGAUUUAUUGAAGACUGACUACUGCGAAAGCAUUUGCCAAGGAUGUUUUCAUUAAUCAAGAACGAAAGUUAGGGGAUCGAAGACGAUCAGAUACCGUCGUAGUC